rnacentral:sRNA from 1 species
AUAGAAUGCUUGAUAUGGGCUUUGAACCCCAAAUAAGGAAGAUUGUGGAUCAAAUAAGACCUGAUAGGCAAACUCUAAUGUGGAGUGCGACUUGGCCAAAAGAAGUAAGACAGCUUGCUGAAGAUUUCCUGAAAGACUAUAUUCAUAUAAACAUUGGUGCACUUGAACUGAGUGCAAACCACAACAUUCUUCAGAUUGUGGAUGUGUGUCAUGACGUAGAAAAGGAUGAAAAACUUAUUCGUCUAAUGGAAGAGAUCAUGAGUGAGAAGGAGAAUAAAACCAUUGUUUUUGUGGAAACCAAAAGAAGAUGUGAUGAGCUUACCAGAAAAAUGAGGAGAGAUGGGUAUGUGUGAGCUCCUCCAUUGAAGCAGAUUGAUUAAAACAGCUUAGGAAAGGGCAAACUUGGAUCACGAGCAGUGGAUUUUUUUCAUAUCUGAUAGUGAAUUUAACUCUCUUUCAUUUCUGGCGAAAUUAAAGAGAUCUGUGACCAAAAGUAGUCAAGCACUGGAGUCUGAGGUUUUCAAUGUGAGUUUAAUAACACAACUUGUCUUUUAACUUAGGUGGCCUGCCAUGGGUAUCCAUGGUGACAAGAGUCAACAAGAGCGUGACUGGGUUCUAAAUGAAUUCAAACAUGGAAAAGCUCCUAUUCUGAUUGCUACAGAUGUGGCCUCCAGAGGGCUAGGUUAGUACAAACUCGCAUUCAUGGCUUGGUUUCGCAGAAGAUCUCCAUUUAACUUUUUUAAAGAAAGUUUAUUGCUUUCUUUAACCUGCAUUUUUUCUAAGUUUUUUUCACAUAAAGGUGCUGUCUUUGUGGC